AUUGAACGCUGGCGGCAGGCCUAACACAUGCAAGUCGAACGGUAACAGGAAGAAGCUUGCUUCUUUGCUGACGAGUGGCGGACGGGUGAGUAAUGUCUGGGAAACUGCCUGAUGGAGGGGGAUAACUACUGGAAACGGUAGCUAAUACCGCAUAACGUCGCAAGACCAAAGAGGGGGACCUUCGGGCCUCUUGCCAUCGGAUGUGCCCAGAUGGGAUUAGCUAGUAGGUGGGGUAACGGCUCACCUAGGCGACGAUCCCUAGCUGGUCUGAGAGGAUGACCAGCCACACUGGAACUGAGACACGGUCCAGACUCCUACGGGAGGCAGCAGUGGGGAAUAUUGCACAAUGGGCGCAAGCCUGAUGCAGCCAUGCCGCGUGUAUGAAGAAGGCCUUCGGGUUGUAAAGUACUUUCAGCGGGGAGGAAGGGAGUAAAGUUAAUACCUUUACUCAUGGACGUUACCCGCAGAAGAAGCGCCGGCUAACUCCGU
rnacentral:rRNA from 1 species